rnacentral:rRNA from 1 species
AGUGAACGCUGGCGGUAGGCCUAACACAUGCAAGUCGAACGGCAGCACAGUAAGAGCUUGCUCUUACGGGUGGCGAGUGGCGGACGGGUGAGGAAUACAUCGGAAUCUACUUUUUCGUGGGGGAUAACGUAGGGAAACUUACGCUAAUACCGCAUACGACCUACGGGUGAAAGCAGGGGAUCUUCGGACCUUGCGCGAUUGAAUGAGCCGAUGUCGGAUUAGCUAGUUGGCGGGGUAAAGGCCCACCAAGGCGACGAUCCGUAGCUGGUCUGAGAGGAUGAUCAGCCACACUGGAACUGAGACACGGUCCAGACUCCUACGGGAGGCAGCAGUGGGGGAUAUUGGACAAUGGGCGCAAGCCUGAUCCAGCCAUACCGCGUGGGUGAAGAAGGCCUUCGGGUUGUAAAGCCCUUUUGUUGGGAAAGAAAAGCAGCAGGCUAAUACCCCGCUGUUCUGACGGUACCCAAAGAAUAAGCACCGGCUAACUUCGUG